CCAUAGCUCAGAGGGAGAGCAUCUGCUUUGUGAGCAGAAGGUCCUAAGUUCAGUCCUCAGCGUGGAUGGA